AACCUCCGCAAUGUGAGAAAUCGCGACGGGGGGAUCCCAAGUGCCAUUCUUAACGGGAUGGCUUUUCAUUAGUGUAAAGAGCUUUUGGAAUAAGAGCUGGGCAAGACCGGUGCCAGCCGCCGCGGUAACACCGGCAGCUCUAGUGGUAACAAUUUUUAUUGGGCCUAAAGCGUCCGUAGCCGGUUUAAUAAGUCUCUGGUGAAAUCCUGUAGCUUAACUGUGGGAAUUGCUGGAGAUACUAUUAGACUUGAGACCGGGAGAGGUUAGAGGUACUCCCAGGGUAGAGGUGAAAUUCUGUAAUCCUGGGAGGACCGCCUGUUGCGAAGGCGUCUAACUGGAACGGUUCUGACGGUGAGGGACGAAAGUUAGGGGCGCGAACCGGAUUAGAUACCCGGGUAGUCCUAACUGUAAACGAUGCGGACUUGGUGUUGGGGUGGCUUUGAGCUGCUCAGUGCCGAAGGGAAGCUGUUAAGUCCGCCGCCUGGGAAGUACGGUCGCAAGACUGAAACUUAAAGGAAUU
rnacentral:rRNA from 1 species